UGCGCGUGUGUCCGAAUGCGGGCACACGCACGCGGAGCCAGCCCAGGAACGCUUCAGACCCCAUUUUAAUCGCUCCAUCCAGGACACAAGCGGCCUGGGGGAAGGGGGGGGGGAGCGAGUCCCCUGCCUAUCCGAACCUCAGCGGGAAAGGGGAUGGCCGUGAGUCUCCCGCGGUGUUUUAGGUGGUGUUUGGCUCACUUACCAGGUGGAUGAACCUUCUCAAGGGUGUGAAAACUCGAAAGGAUGCUCCGGCCAUAAAGGUCCUGCAGCAGGCGGAAGUUACUCUGGAUAGGCUCGUCAUCGUCUCCUUGGAGGGUCUCCUCCAGCAUCGAGAUCUGCAGUGACAAGGGCCAGUGAUGAUCACCCGGAGGGGGCAAAGGAUUCAAAGGAGGAAGAGAGGAGGACCAUGGAGCACAAACCUGUUCCUGGGAGAGCCGAACUGUCUGAUUAAAGACUGUCCAGUUCACCGUCUGAUAACAAGGUGGGGUGGUCAGUGAGCCAUUGUAGCGGAAAUAGCGGUCAAAGUCAUAAGGAAGCAGCUUGGCUACAUCAAAGCCAGCAACUGCAGUUUCCUCUCCUAAGAAAGAAGAAACCUCUGUGAGGAUCAUGCCAGGAGGAUACAGAGAAACACACGGAUGUGAGCCACCAAGAUGGGCACUGCUGCCUGAAGAGAAGGACACCCCAAAGGUCACCCUAAAAGGUCACCAUCUCAUUCAGAUGAAUGGAAUGUGGUGAUCAGAGACAUCGUUGGCACUCACAUAAGGAGCAACAGUUGUGGUUAAUCGAGGCUAUGCCAGUGUGCCCACUUCUUCUGACUUCAGCUCCUUGCCUCAUCAGCCCUGCUCUUCUGACUUGGAGGGAUGUGUCAUGUACUGUAGGCAAGAGAUUUUUAAAGGCAGCUGGGGCAGUGCAGAAAAGCCUGCUCAUUCUUGCUUUCCUGGCAAGGCAUCCUUGAUGCAGAUGCGCCCCAUGGAAAUGGUAGCAUCGCUCAGUUUAAAAAGAUGGACUUGGGGAGAGAUUUGUCAAUAUGAUCAAGGCCAUAAACAAACAGCAAAAAUAAUGAUAAAUGGAGAUAUGACUGAGAAAGUUAGCAUUAAGAAAGGUACAAGACAAGGAUGUCUCCUGUCCCCAUUAUUGUUUAUAUUGACACUGGAUGUACUAAACAGGAACAUUAGACAAGAUACGGAGAUAAAAGGUAUGGAGAUUAAAAGGGAACAGUACAAGUUACAGGCAUUUGCAGAUGAUCUAGCAUUUAUUGUGGAAGAUCCACUAGUAAUAGGGCCUAAAUUAAUAAAAAAAAUAGAAGAAUAUGGAGAAGUGGCAGGUCUGAAAAUAAAUGAAGAGAAAACUAAGAUUUUAGUUAAACACAUUAUGGACAAGCAAAAAAUAGAGUUAACAAAGAGAAUAGAUAUUUAGAUUGUACAGAAAGUUAAGUACCUAGGGAUUCAGUUGACAGCAAGAUGUGUAACAAUUAAAGAAGAUAAUUAUUAUAAGUGGCUGGAACAAAUUCAAAUAGACCUGGAAAAGUGGAAGAACCUACAAUUGUCAUUUGUAGGAAGAGUAGCAACAAUUAAAAUGAACAUAUUACCAAGAUAAUUGUACUUAUUUCAAACAAUUCCAAUAAAAUUGGAAAAAAAUUAUUUGAGGAACUUAAUAAAAUAAUACACAAAUAUAUUUGGCAAGGGAAAAAAGCAAGAAUUGGCCUGAAAAUGAUGCAAGAUAUAAGAAACAGAGGUGGUUUUGGACUACCAAACUGGGAGCUUUAUUACCAGGCUGCAGUAUUAACAUGGAUGAAAGAGUGGAUUGUAUUGAGGAACACAAGAUUAUUGACUCUGGAAGGACACGAUUUACAACUGGGGUGGCAUGCUUUUCUGUGGUAUGGGAAAAAUAAGAUACAUGGAUAUUUUCAGAGACAUUACAUAAGAAAUGCACUAAUGAUGGUAUGGGAGAAAACUAAAGAACAACAUUAUUUGAGGAUACCAGUCUGGCUUUCAACAAUGGAAAUAUGGAUUCACCCAAAUGUUAUUAAUAUGGGAAAUAUUGUUAGAUACAAAGACAUUUUGAAUGAAAAGGGGGAACUGAAAACGAAAGAGGAAAUGAGUGAGCAACGGAUCAAUUUAUCAUGGUAUGGACAAGUGCAGAUACAUUCUAGAUAUGAGAAAGAUAUAAAAUCACAGGGUUUUUAUAAAGAAUCAACAGAAUUAGAUAAAAUAUUAACAGGAACAUAUGAAAGAUUAAUAAAGAAACUGUAUAAUUAUUUACUGGGCGAAAAGCUAGCAGAGGAACAAGUAAAGGAGACAAUGAUAGCAUGGGCGAAAAAUGUUGCUUAUACGCAGUGGUGGGAUUCUACCAGUUUGCACCGGUUCGGUAGAACUGGUUAAGUAGUUAAGCAGUUCAGAGAAUCAGUUGUUAAAAGAAAUCUCUUGUUUUUUUCCACUUUACAGAGUUAAUCCUGUAAGGAAUUACAACAUUCUGUGUUGUUUCCUAGCCUAAUCUUUAUUGCACAUCUUACAGAAACUGCCUCUCCGACAGUAUGCCUAGACUUACUGUUGCUUCCGGUUCUGGAGGUUCUCAGAGGUUUUUGUUUUGGCUUGACUUUCUUAAAGGGUUAGGGUUGUUUUAAGCUUUUUACACUACUAUUGGGAGGAAAUACUCCCCUGUUGGAGUUCUUCCAGCCAGGGUGCAAUGAUCAGCACUUUGAAGAAAUAACUGAAUAACGAAGCAGAAGCUUUUAAUGACAAGGAACCAAGAUGAAUGACAUUCAGCAAGGCUUAUUGACUAGCUAGAACGAUUGACAUUCAAACAUGAGUUUACAUACCCUUUCUGACUUUUGGUCUAAAACUGGUUUUUGUCGAAGUUUAAUUCUGUGCUUGGUGAUGUUUAAUCAGGUGUUUAGUGAUGGGAUAAUUUUCCCUAUUCAGCUUUGAUUGGAAGGAAAAAUGUGAAUCUCUGUUCCUGAAAAGCAGCAGCUUCGAUAAUCUGAUUAGUUCCUGUGUCUAUUUGUUCUGGUAAUUGGUUUAACAAGCAACAGAUACUCUGUUUGCUCCUUAGUUUCAUUUAAUUUAAUUUUAAUUUAAUUUAAUUUCCAAUUUAUAUACCGCCCUUCUCCCUGAGGACUCAGGGCGGUGUACAGCCAAGAUAAAAAACAGAAUACAAAUAUUAAAACAUUUAAAAAUAUAUAUAAAUUUUGGCCCGAAAGUUAAAAAAUCACAGACUAAUUAAAAGAAUUUAAAAAUUUCUUCUUAAGCCAACCCGGCUUGCUGAAAAAGAUGGGUUUUCAGGGAACGAUGGAAGGCAUUGAGGUCAUGGAUUCUCCUUAUCUCCGGGGGCAAUUGAUUCCAGAGGGUUGGAGCCCCCACAGAGAAGGCCCUCCCCCUGGGGGCCACCAGCCUACAUUGUUUGGCUGAUGGCACCCUGAGGAGGCCCUCUCUGUGGGAGCGCACGGGUCGAUGGGAGGUCGUCGGUAGCAGCAGGCGGUCUCGCAGAUAGCUAGGCCCUAUGCCAUGGAGCGCUUUAAAGGUGAUAACCAACACCUUGAAGCGCACCCGGAAGACCACUGGGAGCCAGUGCAGCUCGCGCAGGAGCGGUGUUACAUGGGAGCGCCAUGUUGCUCUCAUCACUACCCGCGCUGCUGCAUUCUGGACCAGCUGGAGCCUCCGGGUGCUCUUCAAGGGGAGCCCCAUGUAGAGAGCAUUGCAGUAGUCAAGGCGAGAGGUGACGAGGGCGUGAGUGACUGUGCACAAGGAAUCCCGAUCGAGAAAGGGCUGCAACUGGUGAAUCAGGCGAGCCUGAUAAAAGGUCCCCCUGGUAACAGCCGUCAGAUGUUCCUCCAAAGACAGCUGCCUAUCCAGGAGGACUCCCAGAUUGCGAGCCCUUUCAGUGGGGGCCAAAGACUCGCCCCCAAUAGUCAGUGAUGGAGUCAACUGACUAUAUCAGGAUGCCGGGAGCCACAGCCACUCAGUCUUGGAAGGGUUGAGCUUGAGCCUGUUCCUCCCCAUCCAGAUCCGCACAGCCUCCAGGCACUGGGACAUCACUUCAAGGGCAUCAUUCUGGAGAGCUUAAAUGACCUCUCUGCUAAAGGGUUUCACUUGGCUGCUGAUAGUUAUCACUGCAUUUUAACUAAUUUCCUCAAGGUGCUCUGGCACUCUCCCUGAUUUGUAACUCCAGUUUACAGGUAUUUCUAAUCUAAUGAUUGGUAUUUAGGGCAGCUUUUUGCAAGCAAAGAAGCUUUUUGUAUUUUUGUACAGGUAAUCCUUGACUUAAAACAGUUACAAUGGCAGUGGAAAAAGUGACUUAUGACCGUUUUUCACACUUGUGACCAUUGCAGCAAACUGUCAUUAGGGCAAAGAAGCAAUGCCACAUGACAACCUGGCACCGGCCACCCGAUCACAUGAAGCACCUUAGUUGUGAAAUGAGUGACACAGUUGUUAAGAAUGCGGCAACGGGCAUAAAUGUGAGGAUAGUCAUAAGUGUGAGGGCCAGUCAAAAGUGCGAGGACCGGUCAGAAAUGACUUUUUCAGCCCUCUGAGUAGUCCCUAUACACAUAGCCACGCCCACCUGGUCACAUGAUCAGCUAGCCACACACCAUCGGUCACAUGACUUCUAAGCCACGCCCACCCAAAUAAACCACACCCACAGAACCGGUUGUUAAAAAAAUUGAAUCCUACCACUGGUUAUACGAUAGAACUAGAUAAAUGGCAGAAACUGUGGGACAGGAAUUAUACAUUAACAAUGUCAACUGCAUAUAAAGAAAAUUUAUAUAAGAUGUUUUAUAGAUGGCAUCUUCCACUGGCAAGAUUGGCAAAGAUCUUUAAAGACAAAUCAGCUAAAUGUUGGAAGUGCCACCAGAUAUCUGGAUCUUAUUAUCAUAUGUGGUGGACAUGUGGACAAGCAAAGAAGUAUUGGACAAAAAUAAAGAUGGUUGGAAAAGAUGAUAAAACAAUGUAUUGAGUUCAAACCAGAAAUAUUUUUGUUGGGGAUCUUGCCUGAAACUUAUAACAAAGAAAAUAUAUAUUUAAUUAUUCAUGUAUUAAUAGCAGCUACAAUUGUAUUUGCACAAUAUUGGAAAAGUGAAGAGAUUCCUACUGAAGAGAAGGUGAUUAGGAAAAUAUUAGAAUGUGCAAAAAUGAAUAGAUUAACACUAGCAAUUAAAGAGAAAGAACCAACUGAUUAUUAUAUGAUAUGGGAAGUAUUUUACCAAUGGUUAGAGGGGGAAAAAGGAAAUUGGAAAUAAAGGAAGAAGACAAUAAGAAUAGAAAAUAUAUGAAAAUAGAGAUAAGAACAAAAUGGCAAUUGAUAAUAUGAGUAUGAUGAAAAUAAGUAUGCUUAAUGUUAUUAUUGUAUUUGUACUAGAAGAUAUGUUAUGAAGGAAGUGAAGAGUUACACAAGGUAUAAUUGUUUAAUGUAUAUAAUUUGUGGAAGGAUGUUGCACAGAAAUAUUUGUACUCAGACGACACACUGUUUAAGGAGAGAUGGAUUGUUUAUAUAUGUUUUUAAUGGAAAAUAAAUAAAAAACUUAUUAAAAAAAA